AAACAAUAAACAGAUAAACAAUAAGACAAUCAAAACACAAAACCCAUCAUAUCCAUAUCACCAAACACCAAACCCCAUAACCCGCUGAGUUACUCCCAUAUCAACAUCGGCCAUCACACUUACGUGGAACACAUCCGAACCCAAUCCAAAAAACACAUUACAUCCAAUAACAGAAAAAAUCAAAUAAACAACACCUGAAUCGAACUUGUAGAGCACAUCCACUGUAAACCUAGAAGAAGAUUCAAUCAGUAACACCCAAAUCCCCCACCUACAAAAAUGUAUUCAAACACAAUGAACACCAAUUGAGAAACACCUCAACCUCCCUCUUCCCCGCAGUCCACACAACCCCUCCUUCAAAAAAGGCACUCAUGGAAGAGGUUUAAUAAUUUAUUUAGGGUAUCUAACAUAACUGUUUACUAAUAAUAACCCCCAAAGGAAUUUAUGAAUUGAACCAAUGGUGCACUUUGAAAACGCCAUCGUUGAAGAUAGGAAAAACUCCUAAUCUUUCAACCGGAGAUAUAUAAUUCAGAAACAGAUUGUAAAUUUGCCGUGUGGGUGAGAUAAAUGCAGAUCUUCGUGAAAACCCUAACCGGGAAGACCAUAAACCCUGGAGGUCGAGUCGAGUGACACGAUUGACAAUGUCAAGGCCAAGAUUCAGGACAAAGAAGGUAUUCCAACAAUGUCUGAUAUUCACCGGUAAACAGCUCGAAGAUGGUCGUACACUCGCCGAUUACAACAUUCAGAACGGUUUUAUUUGAAAAACUUAUAUUUGUUUAUAUAUUUAUGAUUCGUGGUGUAUUGUGAUAUGAAUGGAAUGUGAUUAUACAGAGUCGACUCUGCAUCUUGUUUUGAGGCGUCGUGGCGGUGUAUCAUAGAGCCUUCUUUGAUGGCAUUGGCUCGAAAGUAUAACCAGGACAAGAUGAUCUGCCGCACAUGUUAUGCUAGUCGCAUCCUCGUGCUGUCAACUGCAAGAAAAAGAAGUGUGUGGGCACAGCAACCAGAAGAAGAUCAAGUAGAGCACGGACUACCAGAAAUGUUUUACACAUAAUUUUCAUUGGGAGCAAUUUAUGGGCCAGUUAUUAGAGUUUUUAGGGGAUUGGUUGUUGAUUUAGACCCUUGUCUAUGGGCAAUGAAAUGCUUCUUUGUUUCAUUAUGGAUUUUGACAAUUCAGGUUUUGUUUUUGGUGCAUGUUGACAGCCAUUUUAUCAAUGCAUGUUUUUGAUAUAUUUAACUCUUUGAUCUUAAUAGUCAGGUUAUUAAUGAUUUAUAGAAGCUUUUUUUUUAGUCUGUCGUUGGGAUGAAAUUUGUGUUACUGAGUUCCAUGGUUCUGCGAUUCAAAUCAAACAUUUCAAGAAAUUGCAAAAUUUUUGAUGGAUUUCUGUACGAGGGCCUUUCUGUUUGUUGCUUUCGAAGUCGUAUAUCAUAAUCAUACAAUGCCUUGUUAA